UCUUAUUUUUGGUUAUUUUGGCUACACGUGCAGUGUGUGUGUGAGUACCUUUCCGGAAAAUCUAAUUUCACACUCAAAAUCUCUCUUACGGCUUUCCCUCUCCCUGUCCUCUUCCAAUCUCUCUUUUUCUUCGUUCAGCAGUGUUUUGUGAUUUUUCCCAUUGUUUUACUGAUUUGUUAACAGAUGGGUAUCCAACCAAACCAAUCAGAAAUUAGGGUUUGAUCCUCAAUGUGCACCAAAACCAUAUAAUGUUGGAUCGUACGGUAGUGUUCGAGGAUGUCACAGUCACAAAAGAGACGUAUUUAAUAAGGAAUAGACUACAGACAUCUACACGACUAUACAAUAAGUAUACAAAUUUAGAUGUACCAGCAGGCAGUGAUAUAAUUGCCAGGAGAAGCAACAUGGAAUACAUCACCUCAUCUGGCAAAUGGUGAAGGAAAUAGGAUGAUGACUGUGUUGGGGGUGACUAAUUAUUGCGAAAAAUGAAAGAGGACCACAGUUGUAUACUUACCUAAAAAAAUAAUUGUUUGGUCAUAAUAGUCCCCUGGAUUAUGCGUGGGUGAAGAAUACUUAUGAACAAAUGCGGCAUUACAUGGAUAUGAAAAAUACAGGAGUGCUACGGGAACUUAAAGUGUAUUAUAAAGGAAUCUUGAAGACGAUGAGAUUAUUGUGGGUCCAAAGAUGCUUCAGAUACAUGCUCGAUAAACCUCAUUUUGGUGAAAUUUAGUAUAAGGGAAAUGAUUCGUUAGUAUAGAGAUGAAUUCUUUGUCAUUUCUGUUUCGCUAAGUGUAAGCACCUCCAAAACGAGUGUUGAUCAUGCGUUCUUAAUAACCUGCAUACCAUGAAAGGAUACAUUCCUAACCGAAAUGAGUUAGUGUUUGUGCGUUACUCUUUACUGUUGUUCCAAGCAUAUCCUAUAAGAGCUAUAAAUACUAAACCGCCACUUCAAGUUACGAGAAC